GGACAUCAAACACUGCAUGUACUCACUCAUAGCACAUCUCAACUAAUGACAGCCAUGUCCCUGACUCUCCCCGGACACAUAUGACCAGUGGUUGCCAUGCCAGGUGGACAGGAGGAGGCAGUGCCUGCCUGAAGGAAGAACUCAGUAACUGGUGCUGCAGGAGCGUUUUGCUUCCUCUCUGUUGUGAAUGCCUCGGCUCCAGCUGGCCAAGCAGCCAGCUCACCCCUGAUGGAAUGUCACUCACAUGUUUCCCAUUGUUGUAUAACAAGUUACCACGAACAUAGUGGCAUGGAACAACAACCACUCGUCAUCUCACAGUUCUGCAGGUCAGAAGCCCAUGCAGACUCCACUGGGUUCUCUGCCAAGGGCCUCACAAGGCCAACAUCAAGGCACUGGGUGGGUUGACUCCCAUCUGGAGGCUGUGGGGAAGAAUCUGCUUCCAGGCACACCCAGGUUGAUGGCAGAGUUCAGUUCCUUGUGGGUAUCAGACUGAGGGUUCCUGUUUCCCUGCUGGAUAUGUCAUCCAGGGGACAGUCUUUGCUCCUAGAGGCCAUGCACCUUCCUUUUCAUGCUCCCCAUGUGACACCCUCACACUUUGACUCUCUGACUCCCUUCUCUGACAGCAGCCAGAGAAAACCUUAUAUAUUAGUCCAUUCUCACACUGCUAUAAAGAAAUGCCCACGACUGGGUAAUUUAUAAAGGAAAGAGGUUUAAUUGAUUCACUGUUCCACAUGGCUGGGGAGGCCUCAGGAAACUUACAAUCACGGCAGAAGGUGAAGGGGAAGCAAGCACGUCUUACAUGGCAGCAGGUGAUGAAGACUGUGUGAAGGAGGAACUGUCGAAGACUCAUAAAACCAUCAGAUUUCAUGAUAACUCACUCACUGUCAUGAGAACAGCAUGGGGGAAAACUGCUCCUAUGAUCCAAUCACCUCCCACCAGCUCCCUUUCUUGACAUACGGGGAUUAUGGGGAAUACAAUUUGGGUGGGGACACAGAGACAAACAAUACCGCCUUCUGCUUUUAAUGGCUUAUGCAGUUAGAUUAGACUCACCUUGAUAAUCUGCCUUUGGAUUCACUCAAAGUCAACUGAUUAGUAACCCUAAUUCCAUGUGCAAAAUCCCUUUUGCCAUGUAACUUAUCAUCAUCAUGGACGUGGUAUCACAAUACCUUUUUGGUCCUGGGAUUGAGGUGGGAAAUCCUGGGGCCAUUUUAAGGUUCCUUUUACCUUGUUACUACACUCAGGGGUGAUAGAAGCCCACAGUUCAGUCAAUAUCAGAUUCUCCUGCCACUCACUCUGGAUGCCACAGUGAGGUUCAUGGGGUAGUUGGAGGCCAUGGCUCUGUGGAGGUGGGGGAAGGGAAAGUGCUGAAGUCUGGGGAGGCAUCUAUAGACAGAUCCCCCAACUCAGUGGGAUCUAGUGCAGAUUCUGGUGACUACACUUGGGAGUAGUUCCUUUUUCUCUUCUGAGGGUUUGACCAAGGCCAGCUGGUAAUCUGUUCACUCACUAAGUAUGUAGAUCAGAGAAAGUGAUGAGUCAAUGCUAACACCUCUGGUUCUUUUUGAGUUUCUGAGGUUGAAUGCAGUGACAAUUUUGUGGCAAGAUGAUCUUAAAUGUUUUGGAAGCAAAAGCAUUUUUUGUUGAAAGAAGGCUGGUUGUCACUAUGUAUAUAUAUUUGGUGAUGAGGAUGGGACCCCGUAGGGGUAGGAGAGCACCAACCUGGAGCAGGUGGUGCAGGCCCCCUCCAGGCCCAUCUGGAAUUUGAGCAGAUCCUGUGUUAAAGGACCACCUAGGCCCCUUGAGGAGUCUGGCACCAUUGUGCCCAUCCCCUGAAAUGAGCAUGGUGUGGUGUUGUUACUCCUUUUACAGAAACUUAAGUAGAAGACGCUUAAGAGCCAAGUUUU
rnacentral:lncRNA from 10 species